AGAGUUUGAUCCUGGCUCAGGACGAACGCUGGCGGCGUGCUUAACACAUGCAAGUCGAACGGUAAGGCCCUUCGGGGUACACGAGUGGCGAACGGGUGAGUAACACGUGGGUAAUCUGCCCUGCACAUCGGGAUAAGCCUGGGAAACUGGGUCUAAUACCGAAUAGGACCACAGGACACAUGUCCUGUGGUGGAAAGCUUUUGCGGUGUGGGAUGGGCCCGCGGCCUAUCAGCUUGUUGGUGGGGUGAUGGCCUACCAAGGCGACGACGGGUAGCCGGCCUGAGAGGGUGUCCGGCCACACUGGGACUGAGAUACGGCCCAGACUCCUACGGGAGGCAGCAGUGGGGAAUAUUGCACAAUGGGCGAAAGCCUGAUGCAGCGACGCCGCGUGGGGGAUGACGGCCUCCGGGUUGUAAACCUCUUUCACCAUCGACGAAGGCCCGGGUUUUCUCGGGCUGACGGUAGGUGGAGAAGAAGCACCGGCCAACUACGUGCCAGCAGCCGCGGUAAUACGUAGGGUGCGAGCGUUGUCCGGAAUUACUGGGCGUAAAGAGCUCGUAGGUGGUUUGUCGCGUUGUUCGUGAAAUCUCACGGCUUAACUGUGAGCGUGCGGGCGAUACGGGCAGACUUGACUACUGCAGGGGAGACUGGAAUUCCUGGUGUAGCGGUGGAAUGCGCAGAUAUCAGGAGGAACACCGGUGGCGAAGGCGGGUCUCUGGGCAGUAACUGACGCUGAGGAGCGAAAGCGUGGGGAGCGAACAGGAUUAGAUACCCUGGUAGUCC
rnacentral:rRNA from 1 species